UACGUAGGGUGCAAGCGUUGUUCGGAUUUACUGGGCGUAAAGCGCGCGUAGGCGGCGUGACAAGUCACUUGUGAAAUCUCCGGGCUUAACUCGGAACUGCCAAGUGAUACUGUCGUGCUAGAGUGCAGAAGGGGCAAUCGGAAUUCUUGGUGUAGCGGUGAAAUGCGUAGAUAUCAAGAGGAACACCUGAGGUGAAGACGGGUUGCUGGGCUGACACUGACGCUGAGGCGCGAAAGCUAGGGGAGCAAACGGG
rnacentral:rRNA from 1 species